UGUUUUCUUUUUCUUUCUUCAAUUAUUCCUUCUUGUUUCUACAGAACCAAAUAUAAGUAAAAAGUGAACCAGAAAAAAAUCCAAACGCUACACCUUCGUUAGGGUUACUGGAAGCAGCAUGGAGAAGAAGACGCUAUAUCUACCUCAUGAGUUGAUCAUUCUGAUCCUGCUGAAGUUGCCGGUGAAUUCUGUUAUUCGUUUCAAAUUGGUUUGUAAAUUAUGGUUUUCUCUCAUCUCUGAUCCCCACUUUGCAUCCUCACAUUUCGAACAUGCCGCCUCACACUCUCGUAAAAUUGUAUGGAUGGAACGAUUUUGUAAUAUUAGAUCUAUAGAUUUUGAAGGAUCAAUGAGUAAUGUUUCCCCGAAUAUUAAUUUUAGUACUCCUCCAUUUCUUUUUCCUACAAUUAAAGGUUCAUGUAGAGGGUUUAUAUAUGUGCACACUCGGCGUACAAUUUAUAUAUGGAAUCCAACCACGGGAUCUCACAUAGAAAUACCUAUAUCUCCUUUUGAAUCCAACAAUAAAUCAAAUACUUUAGAUAAUCUUUAUGGUUUUGGUUAUGACCGGUCGAGAGAUGAUUACUUGGUUGUUGCAUGUUGUUAUGAUCCAGAUUUAUAUAAUAUUUCAUCGCUUUUACAGUUUUUUUCAUUUAGAGAUCAUAAGUGGAGAGAAGUUGAGGGUCCUCACGGCUCUUAUAGGAUUGAAUCUGAAAAAGAAGGAUCGCUCUGUAACGGGGCUAUUCAUUGGACGGCUUAUCGCCAUUACGACGAUUUAAAAGUUAUUGUUGCUUUUGAUUUAAUGGAAAGGAACUUGUUAGAGAUACCUUUUUCAGAUGAAUUUGAGCUGGGUUUAAGCAGUGAUGUGUGGGUAUUUGGAGAAUUUCUCAGUGUGUGGACUCAAAAUAAUGACACAGUUGAAAUUUUUGUGAUGAAAGAAUACAAAGUGCAUUCCUCUUGGACUAAGACUCUUGUUUUUCCUAUUAUUAAUAAUGACCUUUCUUAUUUUAUCCCUGUAUGCCAUACAAAAAGUGGUGAUAUUCUUGGAACAGCUGAUGGUAAAUUUGUAAAGUUAAAUGUUGAAGGACAGGUGUUAGAGAUUACCUCUAACGGCGACAGCUAUGGAUGUGGAUUCCAAGCUGUAGUCUAUACGGAGUCUCUGCUUUCACUUCCUGGUGGUGACAUUCAGCAAUUUUAAGAUGACACAAACAAACAAGAAGGUGAAAGGUUUUCCUUCACCAUUUUCUUGAUAUUAUUAUGAACUCUUGGGUGGCUGCAUUGGCAGGGUAAUAUGUGUUUGACUGCAUUUGUAACAUGAGCUAAUAAUAAGCCCACAUAAGAUGAGGUUCGUGGUGUCAGCUGUGAGCGCGGCAGAAAUAGGCAGAAACUAGUUAGAGCAACAAGACUGAUGCAUCAUGGAAAACAUCAACUACCAUAAUUGCAUUGCAUUUAUCAACACGGGAAUUAAGUGUUUACCUUUUGACUAGAAGGACUCCCUCAAAUAAGUUGAUGAGAUUUGAUUAAUGCAGUGUUUUGUUUACUUUGGUUUUUAACUAUAUAUGAUUAGUGCAAAACUGUUGACAUAUGCAGUAGGAGUUUUUGGGUCCUCAUUAAAAAGUACUGUAUGCAAAAUACAUAAUUUGGAGUUUUAUUGUAUUAUUGUUUUAUUAGAGUUACUACAACAUGAAAAUAAUAAUGCCAAUGGCUUCAGCAGUGUCAUGUCUUUUAGAAUGGGAAAAUAAAGUUACAGCACAAA